CACACCCACAAAUAUAUGACAAACAACCUAGCUUUCCAUGGCCGCACUGCACCUGCUUGAUUUGAGGCCAUCCGGCACGACCCUUUUUUCACUGCUUAAAAAAUAAAUAAAUAAAUAAAAUGUUACGUAUCACCGUCCGUCGACGAAUCCUCUGCCGCGCCUCGAGCCUCCGGCGCAGCUUGCGCUCUCUCUGGUUUGAAAGCAUAUUGUCAAUUCUGGAAGAAAAAUAAAAAUUUUGGCCCUAGUUUUGUAUGAAAUUGAAUACAGUUGAAGGAGUAAUUGAAUCUUCUUUGAAUCUUUCUACUGGACGAGUGAUGUAGAGAGAAUGAAAUGAAGCAAUCCAAGUUCAAGAGGAUUUGUGUCUUCUGUGGGACUAGCCACGGCAAGAAGAGUAGCUACCAAGCAAUCCACAUUUGUGUCUUCUGAAGAAGAAUUAUUUUUAGUGGUUUCUCUCGUCUUAAUAACUAAAUUCAAAUAAUGGGGAAAAUAAAUGGUAUAUUGGCUUGAGGUGAUGCUUAUCAGUGUUGGCUUAAAAUCUAUGUGAAUCAAGAAACCCCUUUGUAGAAUAUGCAGUGCAAUAUGCUGUAGCUGCAGCCCUUGCGACAUUGGAAAAGGAUAAGAAGGAUUUGUUACACAAACUACUUUUACAAGGUCUUGACAUUACAAUCUUAGGUUGCAAUGACUUCUAUUCAUAUCGGAAUCAGGUGGGGUUUAUCAUGUGAGAUUGGAAAAGGGAAAGUUGGCAGUGGUUUUGAUGUUAGUUCUGCAGUUUAUGGUAGUCAACGAUAUGUUCACUUUUCACCAGAAGUGCUUUCUUCUGCUCAGGAUGCUGUUUUUUUUGAAUGAAUAAAAUUGGAGGAUGUAGUUAAAGGAAAAGCGUUAGAGGAGGUCAUCGGUGAUGUGCUGAAUGGCAAAUGGGACCAUGAGAGGACUACAUAUUGAAUUUGAAUCCCUUAGUAGUUGGAUUUUUUGGCUCCAAUGGAGCAGAUUUUGGAUAGAUUGCAGGCAUUUGGUGAAUUUGAGUUCAAACAUUUUGGGGACAAGGUUAUUGUUGAGGAACAAAUAGAGAGGUACAUUUUAAUGCAGUUUGGUGAAACAUAUAUGUGCAAUUCUACUGUAUAGUCUGUUUUUAGUGCUGUAUAAUGUUGCUUAGUUAGAGAUAUUGCUCUUUGAUUGUUUUUGAAUUGGCAUUUUUCAUUUUGUUUUUCUUGAGAUUUUAGCUAAUAUUUUUUUGUAGGGGAUAUGAAUGAGAUAUUUCGUGGCAGUUCAUUUCUUGAAUUAAGAAGUGCAUGAUUUUAUCCUCUAGAAAAUAGCUCGCUUGAGGUCUUUCUCGUUGGAAAUAGAAAUAACGCAUUUUUUUUUAUUUUUAAUGCAUUUUAAUUUUUGACAUGUGUAUGUAUAUUCUCUCUCUCUCUCUCUCUCUC